CACCCCAACCCCGGCGCAGCCGCUGUCCACCUGCCAGCGGGGGAGGGGCGCGGCGAGCGCCGCGGGUCAUAGGUCUCCGGGCCGCCAGCCGUCGUCAUUCAUGAGGCCUGGCGCAGGACAGCAGCAGCAGGCCCAGGGUCCAUGCCGGGGUCGUCCUGGGUCUCCCUCAGCUACAGCCCGAGCUUCAGGAGGAUGCUGAGCUCCGGGAGGGGGGCGCUCAGUAGCCAUCCCUUUGCUGGGUGCCCACGCUGGGCUCAUGCCAGCAGUAAGAGCUGGCACUUGCUAAAUACAUUACUUCGUACCACACUCCUGUCAUGUAGGUACUAGUCUCAUCGCUCCCGUUUUACAGAUGAGGAAGCUGGGGCACAGCCAGACUGAGGACUCCCUCUGUCUGGGCAAUGCAAAAGGAACCUCUUCUCCUGGAGCAGAAGUGCAAGAUAAGCCCUGUUUUCAGGGUGCCCUUUAAAUACAGCCUGAGGACGAACAGCUGGGUUGCUUAAGUUUUGACAAAGAAAAACCCCUCCCUGGACCUCAGUCUGGAAUACAACUGUAACAAGCAAGACUAGAGUAAGAAGCUGAGCAAGCGGACAAGGAGCAGUCAACCUACUGGCUGGGGAAGGAGGCUGCCCGGUCAUGAGGCGAGAUGGACAAAACUGCCUCAGUCUACCCAAGACAAAAGCAGAAACAGUCUAGAUGAAGUGCUUUUUAUUUUUAGACCAACCAAACAUAUUUAAUAUAAAAACCUUUCAAUAGACAAACUACCAUCACAACAGCAUCCAUGUAGCAGCGAGGGGAUGCGGGCAAGGGUGGGGAGCGUGGUGGAGGGGGGAAGGUUUUCAGGCUCCCUCCUGCUUCUCUUGUCUGCACUGCGGCCUCUGAGAGCAUGAGGUCUUAGGAGAGGGCAGAUCAAGGCAGCCAGAAGCAGAGGGGCCCUGAUACCGAUACUGAGACAGAGCACAAAAGGCCCCUCCAACAUACCAUCUUCCCACAAGGGCAGCCUCCAGGGAAAGCCAGAUCCAGCUGGGAGGCAGCAGGAAGGUGGCUGCGACUGAGGGGAGCAUCAACCAUCUCUUCUCAGCAUCCUGCUGAUCACCCUUCUGGGAACAGAGUUUUCCAGAGGGCUACUGGAUUGAAAAGACCUAAAAAUCAUCCUAGGAGAAGGACAGAAAUUGUGUCCGAGUCCACCUUCUACCAAGGCUCCUGGCCUGUGACUCCAGAAAGCUGGGUGGGUCUGCUCAGAUGUUUGGGAAGGAAAAUGAAUGACAGAGCCUUUGGCCCAACAAGGCUGAAGCCUUGCCAGGCAUAGACCAAGAAAUCCUCAAGGCAAGCCAGGGAGGUCUGUGGGAAGAGCUUUGGGUCAACGGUACUAUUGGAGUGCAGUGGCACAGUGGCCCGCAGGUGGAGUUUCUAAUGUGUGUGGAAGCGAGAAAGGACACGAGAGAGAAAAAAUUAAGAACUGAAGUACCUGCUUCUUUCAGGCCUGGGCAGUAGAGCCCGGCGCUCCGAGAGCUGAGCACUAUGUGAAAACCUUAAGAAGUGACCUUGGCUCCCAAUUCCAACGACUCAACUACCCCCAGGUGCCGAGGAGCCAGCCUGUCUGAAGCGGGAAGCGUGGAGAAAGGACCCACCUGAGAGAAGUCUGGCUUUAGGGGCGGGUUCUCCCGCAGCUCAGGGUUAGGGUACUCAUUGUUGACGUAGUAGCCCACUCGGAUGAACUCCUGUCCGUGGUAGGUGCAGGUGAUGAGGACCACAGUCACACCCACGGCGUCAGUCUCAGGGAUGAGGGAUGGGUUGGGGGCAUCGGCCUAGGGGAAACACAGGCUGGGCCUUAGCACUGAUUGCCCGUCACACCUUGACCGGUAAUACGAUUCUCAAGCAACGUAUAUUUACUGAGCCAAAAGUAUGGGUCUCUGCCCUCAGGGGUUUUCAAUCCAGUGGUGGAGACAGAGUCAAUCACACAAAUGCCUGUAAAGUGCCGAACGUGACAGGUGCCAUCGAGGAGAAGUAUAUGGUGAUGAGGAGGAGUGUAGCAAGCAAGGGGGAGAGCGGCAUAAAAUGAGGCUGAAGAGGUGAGCAGCUAGGUACCAGUCAGUUAAGGGCUUGGGAAAGAUCGAGAAUGUUUAGCAGGAGAUAAGUGUGGCAUCACUCCUGCCAGCUGAAAAGACGACCCUGGAGGCCAGUGGAGCUGCGAUAGGAAGAGGGCUAAGUGGGAGCAGGGAGACUAGGCAGGAGGCUACAGAGGUCAUCCUGGAGAGAGCACAGUGGCUUAGAUCAGGCAGUAGAGAAGGAGAGAGAGUGGACAGAUGUGGGGUGUGUUGUUAAGGACAGGAUCGGCUAUAUGACUGGUGCAAAAUGAGACGAACACAAAUGAAAACACAAGGGACUUCCCUGGUGGUUAAGAAUCCGCCUGCCAAUGCCGGGGACACGGGUUUGAGCCCUGGUCCGGGAAGACCCCACGUG